GCUGGGCGUGGUGGUGCACGCCUGUAAUCCCAGCUACUCGGGAGGCUGAGGCAGGAGAAUCGCUUGAACCCAGGAGGCGGAGGUUGCAGUGGGCUGAGAUCGCGCCAUUGCACUCCAGCCUAGGCAACAGAGCGAGACUCUGUCUCAA
rnacentral:SRP_RNA from 2 species